rnacentral:rRNA from 1 species
GACGAACGCUGGCGGCGUGCUUAACACAUGCAAGUCGAACGGAAAGGCCUGCUUUCCCUUGUGGAUUGCGGGUGCUCGAGUGGCGAACGGGUGAGUACCACGUGAGUGAUCUUCCCCCAACUUGGGUAUAAGCCUGGGAAACUGGGUCUAAUUCCCGAUAGGACUGCAGGGUGGUGCCUGUGGUGGAACACGAUUUUCUAGUGGUUGGGGAUGAGCUCGCGGCCUAUCAGCUUGUUGGUGGGGUAAUGGCCUACCAAGGCGGCGACGGGUAGCCGGACUGAGAGGGGGGACGGCCACACUGGGACAGGGAUACGGCCCAGACUGCUAGGAGAGGCAGCAGAGGGGAAUCAAGCAGAAUGGGCGGAAGCCUGAUGCAGCGAGGCCGCGGGGGAGAUGACGGGCUUCGGGUGGUAAACUCCUGGCGACCGAGAGGAAGCCGCCUGGUUGGAAGGGUGGUGACGGUAGUGGUAGAAGAAGCACCGGCUAACUACGUG